CCCCUUCACCCACCUAACAAAGUCAGGUAUAAAUAUACUCACACUCGGAAUUCUCAAUGUCAGGUUUUAUAGUCACAUCAUCAUAUUCCAAGUGUCUCUCCUGAACAUCAAAUUCUGGAGGUUCCUUUUUUGUUAGCACAACAUGGCAAUGGUGUAUUUAAACAGUACCAGAUAAUACAAGAUGUAGUGACUUUGUAAUAUUGUGAGUGCCGUACAUCUUGCUGCGGUUAAAAGUAACAGUUACAG